rnacentral:piRNA from 1 species
AGUAGAGUCACUGAGUUUUCACUUAAUA